GGCAGAAAACGUAAACCAAAACCUGUUGGCUGCCGCCGGCCGGUUCCAGAAUCCAGAUCAAGUUAAGGUGCUGCCGUUUCGCUAGUUGAGGUUUCUCGUGGUCGUUCGGCGACAUGAGUUGUGUUCGGUUGAGAUAUCCAUUUUACUGUGUUGGCAGUGGAAUCGUCAGUUGUAAGGAGUUCGUCUCCGAUGGGAAAGCAGGGACUUGGUGUGCUGAGCAGGGACUUGGUGUGCUGAGCAGGGACUUGGUGUGCUGAGCAGGGACUUGGUGUGCUGAGCAGGGACUUGGUGUGCUGAGCAGGGACUUGGUGUGCUGAGCAGGGACUUGGUGUGCUGAGCAGGGACUUGGUAAUACAGAGGUUUCUCAGCAAUAAACUUUGGUAGAUUUUGUAUGUAUCGUGAGGUUACGUAGUUACCUAAUGUCUUCUGUCAUUCUACCAUGAGGGAUGUGCUUAUUCUAUCAUAAGUCACUUAUGCUCAGUAUUGGAUGUUUAGGAGUUUUAAAGACUCGACAAAAUUAUAUUCUGAAGUCAGUUCUACAAGUUUCAUGGUGGGAUAUGACUAGUUUAGAAGGUAGCACUGGAUUUUGGCUUGCUGUCAACUUUUGUAUUGGACAUCGUCGGUUAAAUGUCACAAAGUAUCCUAACAUUAAUGUUAACUUAUCAUCACUAAGCUUCAUCAAUUGGAGAAAGUCUCAAUUAUAGCAAUGCUGAGGAUGAAAAUAACUUUACUUUGCCCCUUGUGCAGAUUGUAAAAAUUUCCAUGUAGGGGCACAGUAACAUUAGUUGAUCAGCGAUUGAGGGAACAUGUGUGCAAUUAGAUGUGAACAAUGCUCUAUUCAUGCUACUUUCAACUAACGGUGGUGUUGGCAAAACUGUAAAUUAUUUAAAACAAUAAACAUAGUUGAGGCUGCUCUCAUUAGGGCAGUAUAUGAUUUUAACUUAAAAGUUUUAACUAAAUUUUUGGGUUUGUUAUACUAUUAUGUAAUUCAAGCAGCGAACCUUAAUAUUGUCAGGUCGAAUAUUUAGAUUAAUAGUGGCAGUUAGGUAACGACCCAAAGGUGGCUAUUUGUAUUUUUUCUGUACAUUAGUAACUUUCUAGUUAUUAAAUGUGACCUCGUUC